rnacentral:rRNA from 1 species
GGUGGCGAGUGGCGAACGGGUGAGUAAUGCACCGGAACGUAUCCAAUAAUGGGGGAUAACGCACCGAAAGGUGUGCUAAUACCGCAUACGCCCUGAGGGGGAAAGCAGGGGAUUCGAAAGAACCUUGCGUUAAUGGAGCGGCCGAUGUCGGAUUAGCUAGUCGGUGGGGUAAAGGCUCACCAAGGCGACGAUCCGUAGCUGGUCUGAGAGGACGACCAGCCACACUGGAACUGAGACACGGUCCAGACUCC